rnacentral:rRNA from 1 species
UUUAUGGAGAGUUUGAUCCUGGCUCAGGAUGAACGCUGGCGGCGUGCCUAAUACAUGCAAGUCGAGCGAACGGACGAGAAGCUUGCUUCUCUGAUGUUAGCGGCGGACGGGUGAGUAACACGUGGAUAACCUACCUAUAAGACUGGGAUAACUUCGGGAAACCGGAGCUAAUACCGGAUAAUAUUUUGAACCGCAUGGUUCAAAAGUAAAAGACGGUCUUGCUGUCACUUAUAGAUGGAUCCGCGCUGCAUUAGCUAGUUGGUAAGGUAACGGCUUACCAAGGCAACGAUGCAUAGCCGACCUGAGAGGGUGAUCGGCCACACUGGAACUGAGACACGGUCCAGACUCCUACGGGAGGCAGCAGUAGGGAAUCUUCCGCAAUGGGCGAAAGCCUGACGGAGCAACGCCGCGUGAGUGAUGAAGGUCUUCGGAUCGUAAAACUCUGUUAUUAGGGAAGAACAUAUGUGUAAGUAACUGUGCACAUCUUGACGGUACCUAAUCAGAAAGCCACGGCUAACUACGUGCCAGCAGCCGCGGUAAUACGUAGGUGGCAAGCGUUAUCCGGAAUUAUUGGGCGUAAAGCGCGCGUAGGCGGUUUUUUAAGUCUGAUGUGAAAGCCCACGGCUCAACCGUGGAGGGUCAUUGGAAACUGGAAAACUUGAGUGCAGAAGAGGAAAGUGGAAUUCCAUGUGUAGCGGUGAAAUGCGCAGAGAUAUGGAGGAACACCAGUGGCGAAGGCGACUUUCUGGUCUGUAACUGACGCUGAUGUGCGAAAGCGUGGGGAUCAAACAGGAUUAGAUACCCUGGUAGUCCACGCCGUAAACGAUGAGUGCUAAGUGUUAGGGGGUUUCCGCCCCUUAGUGCUGCAGCUAACGCAUUAAGCACUCCGCCUGGGGAGUACGACCGCAAGGUUGAAACUCAAAGGAAUUGACGGGGACCCGCACAAGCGGUGGAGCAUGUGGUUUAAUUCGAAGCAACGCGAAGAACCUUACCAAAUCUUGACAUCCUUUGACAACUCUAGAGAUAGAGCCUUCCCCUUCGGGGGACAAAGUGACAGGUGGUGCAUGGUUGUCGUCAGCUCGUGUCGUGAGAUGUUGGGUUAAGUCCCGCAACGAGCGCAACCCUUAAGCUUAGUUGCCAUCAUUAAGUUGGGCACUCUAAGUUGACUGCCGGUGACAAACCGGAGGAAGGUGGGGAUGACGUCAAAUCAUCAUGCCCUUAUGAUUUGGGCUACACACGUGCUACAAUGGACAAUACAAAGGGCAGCGAAACCGCGAGGUCAAGCAAAUCCCAUAAAGUUGUUCUCAGUUCGGAUUGUAGUCUGCAACUCGACUACAUGAAGCUGGAAUCGCUAGUAAUCGUAGAUCAGCAUGCUACGGUGAAUACGUUCCCGGGUCUUGUACACACCGCCCGUCACACCACGAGAGUUUGUAACACCCGAAGCCGGUGGAGUAACCUUUUAGGAGCUAGCCGUCGAAGGUGGGACAAAUGAUUGGGGUGAAGUCGUAACAAGGUAGCCGUAUCGGAAGGUGCGGCUGGAUCACCUCCUUUCU